AUUGAACGCUGGCGGCAGGCCUAACACAUGCAAGUCGAGCGAGCGGCGGACGGGUGAGUAAUGUAUGGGGACUGCCCGAUAGAGGGGGAUAACUCCUGGAACCGGUGGCUAAUCCCGCAUACUAUCGGCUAUCCCCUAUGGGAUUAGCUAGUAGGUGGGGUAAAGGCUCACCUAGGCGACGAUCUCUAGCUGGUCUGCGAGGAUGAUCAGCCACACUGAGACGGAGACACGGCCCAGACUCCUACGGAGGCAGCAUUGGGGAAUAUUGCACAAUGGGCGAAAGCCGGAUGCAGCCAUGCCGCGUGUAUGAAGAAGGCCUUAGGGUUGUAAAGUACGUUCAGCGGGGAGGCGUUACCCGCAGAGGAAGCACCGGCUAACUCCGUGCCAGCAGCCGCGGUAAUAC
rnacentral:rRNA from 1 species